GAUGAACGCUGGCGGCGUGCCUAAUACAUGCAAGUCGAGCGAACAGACGAGGAGCUUGCUCCUCUGACGUUAGCGGCGGACGGGUGAGUAACACGUGGAUAACCUACCUAUAAGACUGGGAUAACUUCGGGAAACCGGAGCUAAUACCGGAUAAUAUAUUGAACCGCAUGGUUCAAUAGUGAAAGACGGUUUUGCUGUCACUUAUAGAUGGAUCCGCGCCGCAUUAGCUAGUUGGUAAGGUAACGGCUUACCAAGGCGACGAUGCGUAGCCGACCUGAGAGGGUGAUCGGCCACACUGGAACUGAGACACGGUCCAGACUCCUACGGGAGGCAGCAGUAGGGAAUCUUCCGCAAUGGGCGAAAGCCUGACGGAGCAACGCCGCGUGAGUGAUGAAGGUCUUCGGAUCGUAAAACUCUGUUAUUAGGGAAGAACAAAUGUGUAUGUAACUAUGCACGUCUUGACGGUACCUAAUCAGAAAGCCACGGCUAACUACGUG
rnacentral:rRNA from 1 species